rnacentral:rRNA from 1 species
UACGUAGGGUGCAAGCGUUGCCCGGAUUUAUUGGGCGUAAAGGGCGCGUAGGCGGCUCUGCACGUUCGUUGUGAAAUCGCCCGGCUCAACUGGGCGGGGUCAGCGGAUACGGCAGAGCUUGAGCAAGCUAGGGGGCAAUGGAACUCCCGGUGUAGCGGUGGAAUGCGUAGAGAUCGGGAAGAACACCCGUGGCGAAGGCGGCGUGCUGGGUUGCAACUGACGCUGAGAUGCGAAAGUGUGGGGAGCAAACGGGG